rnacentral:rRNA from 1 species
UACAGAGGUCCCAAGCGUUGUUCGGAUUCAUUGGGCGUAAAGGGCUCGUAGGCGGCCAACUAAGUCGGAUGUGAAAUCCCCAGGCUUAACCUGGGAACUGCAUCCGAUACUGGAUGGCUUGAAUCCGGGAGAGGGAUGCAGAAUUCCAGGUGUAGCGGUGAAAUGCGUAGAUAUCUGGAGGAAUACCGGUGGCGAAGGCGGCAUCCUGGACCGGCAUUGACGCUGAUGAGCGAAAGCCAGGGGAGCAAACGGG